rnacentral:rRNA from 1 species
AGCGAACGCUGGCGGCAGGCUUAACACAUGCAAGUCGAGCGGGCACUUCGGUGUCGGCGGCAGACGGGUGAGUAACACGUGGGAACGUACCCUUUGGUUCGGAAUAACGCUGGGAAACUAGCGCUAAUACCGGAUACGCCCUUUUGGGGAAAGGCUUGCUGCCGAAGGAUCGGCCCGCGUCUGAUUAGCUAGUUGGUGGGGUAAUGGCCUACCAAGGCGACGAUCAGUAGCUGGUCUGAGAGGAUGAUCAGCCACACUGGGACUGAGACACGGCCCAGACUCCUACGGGAGGCAGCAGUGGGGAAUAUUGGACAAUGGGCGCAAGCCUGAUCCAGCCAUGCCGCGUGAGUGAUGAAGGCCUUAGGGUUGUAAAGCUCUUUUGUCCGGGACGAUAAUGACGGUACCGGAAGAAUAAGCCCCGGCUAACUUCGUG